AUACGGAGGGUGCAAGCGUUAUCCGGAAUCAUUGGGUUUAAAGGGUCCGUAGGCGGACUAUUAAGUCAGAGGUGAAAUCCCACAGCUCAACUGUGGAACUGCCUUUGAUACUGGUAGUCUUGAGUUAUAUGGAAGUAGAUAGAAUGUGUAGUGUAGCGGUGAAAUGCAUAGAUAUUACACAGAAUACCGAUUGCGAAGGCAGUCUACUACGUAUAUACUGACGCUACGGGACGAAAGCGUGGGGAGCGAACAGGAUUAGAAACCCUAGUAGUCC
rnacentral:rRNA from 1 species